GUGGGGCCCAGCUAUCAUUCUUUGCCCAUGCCCUAGGCCCCGCUCCUCUCUCGCUCCUUUUCAAACUGUGGCGGCCUCACAAGCUCCUACUUUAAAAGGCCUGAGAUGUUUUGCAUGAAGCCCUCACAAUAGGGGUUGAGGGAAUUGACAGUUUCAAAAACAAGGCGUUCAGUCCUUUCCAGCUGCCGGGCCCGCUCUCUCGCACCAACUCCUCGUCCCUCUCUGCUGGUGGCGUCCUCGGGAGCGGGCCGCCUCCCCCACACCGCCAGCCCGCGUUCCGGCCGCCCCACCCCGCCCCCAGGCUGUGUUUGUAAACAGGGGACCUAACAGCAGCACUUAAGAUCACCAGAGUGGGUGCUCACUUUGCCCAGCUGAAUAAAUGUUUCCUGGUCAGGAGCAGCCCUGUCCUAGGCCACUACUUGACUCCCACGACUUCUUCCCGGAGCUGCAGCACAGUGAACGAGCUCUCUAUUCUUCUGCGGCUGCAUCCAAGGCUUCAGGGCAGAUUGGUGCCUAACUGGGGGAAGGGCACUGGUUGUGCCCUUACAGGGGACAGUAAGGCCAGAGGGGUGGAGGAAAAGAGGUUUCAAAAUGGAAUAAGGAGAGCCUGCUGCCUGCAGAUGUGUGUGUGUUUAUCCACAGAGUCUAAAAAAGAAAGAAAGAAAGAAAAACAUCUUUAGGGGAAGCAGGCCAAGUACCUGAGAUGCUCAGGUAUUGCGGAUUCCUUAGCUCCUGCUGCCCGGAUCUUUCCCCAGUUGAGAGGACUGGAGCAAGACAGGAAGAGGUGGAGAGAGAAUCACAGGCAACCUUGAGGCCCUCCAGUAAGAUCCAGUUAUUCAUCUAAUCAGUGCCAUCAAUAUGUUUGUGUUUGACCCUUUUGGAUGGAAGAGGCUUAGCAGUCAAUACACUUAGACCCUAAAAUAUCGCCAGCCUCACAGAGAACAACUGUUCAUGGGUCUGCAAAGCCCUCCCCAACCAGGGUGCUCAGAAGGAUGGGAGGGAAACAGAGAGGAAACCCUCUAAGUGGCUGCCUGCCCUCUUCCCCAAGCCAUCAAAACAAACAAACAAACAAACUCAAUUUUCCUGGAGUCUGGGCUGUUGGACAAGCACAUGUGGGGCAUGGAAGGGUUGGGAUAUAAUGUCCAUUGUGAGUGCUUGCCCUCUUUAAGAUCAGUUUAAGUUACCUUUGGGAACAGCACAAUAAUUGUGAUAAGUGAUGAGCAGUGGCAAGGAAAAACAGUAGGGAAGAGAGACAGCACCAAGCUUAGGAAGAAGCCCCCUCCUUCCAUAGAAGUUAGACAUGAUGCAAAUAUGUAAGAGAUCUUGAAGCUUGUCAGCAGGCAAGGGUUUCAGUCUGAAAUGACUGGAAAGGACCUAAAUUCUUGGAUCUCCCAGGAAUAAAGGCGCAUUUGAGAUUCA
ensembl:lncRNA